rnacentral:rRNA from 1 species
CAGUAGCCGCGGUAAUACGAAGGGUGCAAGCGUUAAUCGGAAUUACUGGGCGUAAAGCGCGCGUAGGUGGUUUGGUAAGAUGGAUGUGAAAUCCCCGGGCUCAACCUGGGAAUGGCAGUGGAUACUGGCUCGCUAGAGUGUGUCAGAGGAUGGUGGAAUUCCCGGUGUAGCGGUGAAAUGCGUAGAGAUCGGGAGGAACAUCAGUGGCGAAGGCGGCCAUCUGGGACAACACUGACGCUGAGGCACGAAAGCGUGGGGAGCAAACAGGAUUAGAUACCCGAGUAGUCCCUGUCUCUUAUAC